rnacentral:misc_RNA from 1 species
AAAGUCGUAACAAGGUUUCCGUAGGUGAACCUGCGGAAGGAUCAUUGCUAAUACAUGAUUUAGACAGGGCUGCAUUUAUGCAGCGCUGUGUGAAACUUGGUCGUCAGCGGGUGGAGGUUGUGGUGAGGAGGUUUGCACUGGUGUGGGUGGAUAAUCAUUUACACGGGAGUGUGGGUGGAUAGUCAUUUACACGGGUGUGGACGAUACUCACUAUGAUCACAUCUCAGACAACACACACGCGUUCUUGUUUGUCAGUCUAGGUAAAUUAAAAAGAAACAACUUUUAACAAUGGAUCUCUUGGCUCUU